rnacentral:rRNA from 1 species
UGGGGGAUAUUGCACAAUGGGGGGAACCCUGAUGCAGCGACGCCGCGUGGGUGAAGAAGCGCCUCGGCGCGUAAAGCCCUGUCAGCAGGGAAGAAAAUGACGGUACCUGAGUAAGAAGCCCCGGCUAACUACGAGCC